rnacentral:lncRNA from 1 species
GAUUCAGAUCUGAUUAAACCAUGCUUGUAUCACCACUCCUCUGUCGAGAUGCUUUAUGCCUGCCUCAUAUCCAAAUGGUCCAUCUUUUCCUCUAUAAUUUAGAUCUGUUUCUGCCCUGACAGUGGGGACAUAGUAGAUUAUUUCAGCAAACUAAUCCAUGCUAAUUUUUUAACCUUUAUCUUUUCAUCUUAUUUAGCAAUAAUUUCCCUCAUUAAGAGUUAAAAUAUGUAAAAAAUGACAGGGAUCCUGGCAAGCCGAUGGGAAAGGGGAGAUGGACAGAUUGCUAUUGGAACAGUUAUAUAAGGAUUUACUAAUUUUUCUAA